CACGUAGGGGGCGAGCGUUGUCCGGAUUUAUUGGGCGUAAAGAGCUCGUAGGCGGCUCAGUAAGUCGGGUGUGAAAACUCCAGGCUCAACCUGGAGACGCCACCCGAUACUGCUGUGGCUAGAGUCCGGUAGGGGAGCAUGGAAUUCCUGGUGUAGCGGUGAAAUGCGCAGAUAUCAGGAGGAACACCAGUGGCGAAGGCAGCUCUCUGGGACGGUACUGACGCUGAGACGCGAAAGCGUGGGGAGCGAACAGG
rnacentral:rRNA from 1 species